AUGGUAACUGUAGCACAUCUUUGUUGGUGUUGGUCUACCGCUGACCUCAAAACAUCAUUCAAUGGUUUUAUCAUUUCCAAAUUUUAUCAGUCUCCUUACAUUUAAAACGUCCCUGUGUCACAAAAUACGCACACGGUGGGGGACCACCACCACCCCCACCCCCAUCAUUUACCUGUUGCCAGGACAGGAGUGACUCAGUGUGUGCACGUGAUGUGGGACGUCAAAUGUCACUGGCCCAGUUUUGGCACACCCAAAUCGUUAAUACUAGUUAAGUUCAUUUGUCCGACAAGGCCUGGUAGUUGACGAAAGAUAACACUCCGACAGUUUUGUGGAUAGUUUGUGCCUACUUGGAACACAGACAUGGCGUCGGCGAGUGAAGAGGGAUCAAGAAAGAACCUCGAGGUGGCUCUACUCGCCAUGCUUGGUUCCGUCUUCAUGGUGAUGGUAUUGAUGAUGAUCUUGACGAACUAGAAGGGCUAACACCACACAGGCAAGCUGAAGCUGAAGUCUGCUAUCCCCCCUCCCUGACAGACGGUGUAUGAUGACGACAUGUUGGUCCUUUCUCGUCUCUGGGUGGAACUUUCACGCCUGGCACUGAGAUGAACCCGAAGUAC